GAGGGUAUAGCUCAAGCGGUAGAGCACAUGCUCAGCAUGCACAAGGUCCUGGGUUCAAUCCCCAGUACCUCCU
rnacentral:tRNA from 1 species